GAUGAACGCUGGCGGCGUGCUUAACACAUGCAAGUCGAACGAAGCACUCUACUUGAUUUCCUUCGGGAUUGAUUGUUCUGUGACUGAGUGGCGGACGGGUGAGUAACGCGUGGAUAACCUGCCUCACACAGGGGGAUAACAGUUGGAAACGGCUGCUAAUACCGCAUAAGCGCACAGCACCGCAUGGUGCAGUGUGAAAAACUCCGGUGGUGUGAGAUGGAUCCGCGUCUGAUUAGCUGGUUGGCGGGGUAACGGCCCACCAAGGCGACGAUCAGUAGCCGGCCUGAGAGGGCGACCGGCCACAUUGGGACUGAGACACGGCCCAGACUCCUACGGGAGGCAGCAGUGGGGAAUAUUGCACAAUGGGGGAAACCCUGAUGCAGCGACGCCGCGUGAGCGAUGAAGUAUUUCGGUAUGUAAAGCUCUAUCAGCAGGGAAGAUAAUGACGGU
rnacentral:rRNA from 1 species